rnacentral:SRP_RNA from 1 species
CAGGAGGAUAGGUUGGGCUGGUCGGCGUAGCCUGUUACCCGAAACCGUCGUCACGCGGGAACCGAAGCCGAGGGAAGCUGUCAGGAAUUUGCAAAGUCUCAAAAUCCGACCGAGACCGGAGAGGGAAGUGUCCCUCUCCAAGGGUUCCUCACCCUCUUAGCGUGAGUGAACUGGCGGGAUAAGUUCCGCACCCUGGAGCGGGAGUUGCAAUGAACCGGUUGAGGCCGGGAACGGUGCAGACCUAAGUUGCAGUUUUUGCGUUCAGGACCAACGGGAUGGAGAAGGAUUAUGGGGUUCAACUUUGCAGGUUUUUGUCCGCGACUUGAGGCGCUUCUCCUG